GGGAAGGUGGCUCAGCGGUAGAGUGCUUGCCUUGCAUGCAUGAAGCCCUGGGUUUGAGUCCCUCAGUACCA
rnacentral:tRNA from 1 species